rnacentral:rRNA from 1 species
UACUGAGGUCUCAAGCGUUGUUCGGAUUCAUUGGGCGUAAAGGGUGCGUAGGCGGCGCGGUAAGUCGGGUGUGAAAUCUCGGAGCUUAACUCCGAAACUGCAUUCGAUACUGCCGUGCUUGAGGACUGGAGAGGAGACUGGAAUUUACGGUGUAGCGGUGAAAUGCGUAGAUAUCGUAAGGAAGACCAGUGGCGAAGGCGGGUCUCUGGACAGUUCCUGACGCUGAGGCACGAAGGCCAGGGGAGCAAACGGG